rnacentral:rRNA from 1 species
CGCAGCCGCGGUAAUUCCAGCUCCAAUAGCGUAUAUUAAAGUUGUUGCAGUUAAAAAGCUCGUAGUUGAAUUUCGGAACCAAUAUGUCGGUCGUGCCUCGGUACGUACUGGUGUCAUUGGUUUCUCCCUUCUGAGGAUCCUUGAUGUCAUUAAUUUGGUGUCUUGGGGAAUCAGGACUGUUACCUUGAAAAAAUUAGAGUGUUUAAAGCAGGCAUACGCUUGAAUACAUUAGCAUGGAAUAAUGAAAUAGGACGUUCGAUUCUAUUUUGUUGGUUUCUAGGAUCGACGUAAUGAUUAAUAGGGAUAGUUGGGGGCAUUAGUAUUCAAUUGUCAGAGGUGAAAUUCUUGGAUUUAUUGAAGACUAACUACUGCGAAAGCAUUUGCCAAGGAUGUUUUCAUUAAUCAAAGAACGAAAGUUAAGGGGAUCGAAGACGAUCAGAUACCGUCGUA